CUGAAGUUGUAGAUUUGAUUGAAAUCUAUCUCACACAAUAUGUAGAACGUAUCACCAGCAAAAUGAAGGGCAAGUUAUGUUUGAUUGUUUUGCUUCUGAUUCUAUUUCUCACGUUUUCGCCAUACGUCGUUUUACCUCAAUCAUACAAGUCCAAAGAAGAAAAGAUAGUAGAAACCGUUGACAUUCGAAAGAUAAUGAAGAUCGGAGCUCCUCGGAGUAAAUCGCCACACGAUCGCGCCAAUGGGGUGGGAGUGACUCGCCUCAAGCCCCAGGCCCAAAUGCAGUUUAAGGCGUCAAAUAUUUUUACAUUUGUUUUUGUACGAACGUUAUAGUUUAGAGCAAUUGCACCCUAUAGUCACGUUUAGAAGAUUAUUUGCAUAUUGGGUAAUGUACGAUGAAGCUACUGUUCGAGUUUCCUUAUAUGACACUAUUAGCCCUACAAUAAGACAUCUGGUUUUCUUUUGUU